rnacentral:rRNA from 1 species
AGUGAACGCUGGCGGUAGGCCUAACACAUGCAAGUAGAACGGCAGCACAGUAAGAGCUUGCUCUUACGGGUGGCGAGUGGCGGACGGGUGAGGAAUACAUCGGAAUCUACUUUUUCGUGGGGGAUAACGUAGGGAAACUUACGCUAAUACCGCAUACGACCUACGGGUGAAAGCAGGGGAUCUUCGGACCUUGCGCGAUUGAAUGAGCCGAUGUCGGAUUAGCUAGUUGGCGGGGUAAAGGCCCACCAAGGCGACGAUCCGUAGCUGGUCUGAGAGGAUGAUCAGCCACACUGGAACUGAGACACGGUCCAGCCUCCUACGGGAGGCAGCAGUGGGGAAUAUUGGACAAUGGGCGCAAGCCUGAUCCAGCCAUACCGCGUGGGUGAAGAAGGCCUUCGGGUUGUAAAGCCCUUUUGUUGGGAAAGAAAAGCAGCAGGUUAAUACCCCGCUGUUCUGACGGUACCCAAAGAAUAAGCACCGGCUAACUUCGUG